rnacentral:lncRNA from 1 species
CUGUAUUUGCACGGCGUCGCACGAGUACAAAAUUUUCAAACAGAGUAUUACCAGGAUACAACCACACUACAUGAAUAUACAAUACUCAACAUUCAUUCACCAUUCACCAGAUAUUUAUCAUUUAGUGUUUAAACAUAAAAACCAUGAGAAAACUCUUUUGAAAGCUGUUUCCCUACACGGAAACCUUUUCUUUUAAACGCGCUACCACGAGGGGUAGAAAACUACUUUUAUUUUCACAAAUUUCACAAAUCCCUUUAUUACAUUCAUGAAAACCCACAUUUUCAAAUGUAAUAAUAAUACUGAACCAUAUAAACUAUCUGAGCUAUAUCAACAUAAUAGUAAGGGCAGAAACUAAACCGAAUAACCUGGGUCGAAAGCUCUAUCGACCGCUACGAACGUGUCUCACAUCUCGUCUCGACUCUCACCGCCCGCAAUACCUGAAAAAUGGUGGGGGAGGUGAGAACAUGUAAACAUGUCUCCCCUCCCAGUGGGUACCGCAAGCCGAUGAAGGCGAGGAGUACUCACCGGAUCAGGAAGAGCUAAACAACAGUACGGGUCAGUAGAAAAUACAGUAGCAAUAAUAAUGAACAAAAGAGAUAUAUAUAUAAAUGAAAGUACAACUACUGCUACUGUAAAGAGCAACUGAAUGUAUACAUGUAACAAAACUAUAAUAGCAAGACAAUGUAACGAAAGAACUGGAGGUAUGCAAGCAACAACCGCUACUAUAGCUAUAUGUGUCAACUAGACGAUAAGUUCAAAUAUACCCAAUCUGGAAACCGCCAUAUUGGUCUGUAGACCUCAAGCCUGUGCCACAACUGCUCAAUCUAUACGUAACCCUCGCAUAAAGCACCCAGAUUCGUAAGGUAUAUGACCCUCGCAUCAAGCACCCGGGUCUGAAAGCAUAUAACCCUCGCAUCAAGCACCGGGGCUCACGGGUUGGCACUCCCAACCACUUUUCCGAAAAAGAACACCCUCUUGCGGUGGCCAAACCGUUGGUGUUCGUGAAAUGCAUACAAGCAGUGGCGAUCAAUGCCGAAUGCUCAAUAGUAAGCCGUCGGCAACCAGCCGACAAUCACCGCCCCUCGGGGCACACCGACCAAUAGGUCAUCGAACUGAAGAAACACAAGUACCGACCACUCAGGUCAACUAGGAUGGAACAACUCAACAUCCUAUCGAAGAUAUGCAAGUAUAAUCCAGAUGUAACGAACUGACCGUCUGGGUCAUAACCAAACAUCGGCAACUAGCCGACAAUCCAAACCCUCCAGGUAUACUGACCGUAUAGGUCACCAAAUAGUCCAACCGACCAAUAAGGUCACAGAUACGAAGUACGAGAACUGACCAACCAGGUCACAGAUGUCCCAAGAACGGAUGCAGAGAAUCGACUGAAUAUGUCACAACAGCAGAUGCAACGAACUGACCGAUUAGGUCACAAAACAUCGGCAACUAGCCGACAAUCCAACCCCUCAGGUAAACUGACCGCGUAGGUCACUAAGUAGUCCAACUGACCACAUAUAUCACAACAACGGAUGUGAAGUACGGGAACCGACCAACAGGUCAUAGAUGUCAUAAGCAGAUAAAUCUACUCUACUCCUAAACAUAGAAACAACUGAGUAGAUUAUGACGGAAACAAUAUGGGUGCAAGGCUCAAUAAAUACUAUGCAAUAGUAACAAUAGGAGAGCAAGGGUAAGAAACCAUCACCGAGCGUGCACCACUGUACCAACGUCGGAUCGAAGUACCUACCUGUAAGGAUGUCGCGUCUGUCUCCUGACUGCAAAAGAAUGUCGACAGGACCUAUAGAGGGUCCACCGGGUUAGUAUCUAACCCCCAACUAAUAACCACAGUAUCCACAACCCCACAAACAAUUUCACGAAGAUCGAUUUCCCAAUACCGAUUACCAUAACUCGCCGGAAGUCCCGAAAACCACACCGGGACGCCGUCGGGACCCACUAAGUGUCCCGAAACUCACCGACUCGUGCUACGAGUCACCCGCUACCACUAGACAUAAAUAAUCGUGCAUCAUGGCAGCAAACACAACUCCUCACGUCGAAACAAUUACCGUCGGAUAAUCGUUUCGAUCCAGGUUCCCGAAAGUGUCAAUUUCGACACCGGAACCCACCGUCGCUCACCCGUCAUUUCUGAACUCUCAAAAUGAUGCGAGUGACCAGCCAACAAGGCUCAGCGACUGAACAAUCCAUCACGAAGCACCGUCGGAAUAAUUCCGAACCGAACCCACGUUCCGUCGGCGGAUUUUGCCGAGAAACGAGUCGGAAAUCACUUAUCGAUCUCUGCAAAGGUUUGGGGCCUUGGACAAUCAGUCCAGAGGUCACCCACAGCAUGUACACGCUGCCCACAGCUACCACGAUAAACCAAAUUGCAUAAA